CCCUUAGAUGUCCUGGGCCGCACGCGCGCUACACUGACAUGUUCAACAAGCCUCCUAGUUCGACAGGAUUUGGGAAAUCUUUGAACGCAUGUCGUGAUGGGGAUAGAUCAUUGCAAUUAUUGAUCUUGAACGAGGAAUUCCUAGUAAACGCGAGUCAUCAGCUCGCAUUGAUUACGUCCCUGCCCUUUGUACACACCGCCCGUCGCACCUACCGAUUGAAUGUUUCGGUGAAGAUUCCGGAUAGGACUUUUUUGAUUUAUUUCAAUUCUGUCUUAAAAGCUAUCUAAACCUCAACAUUUAGAGGAAGGUGAAGUCGUAACA
rnacentral:rRNA from 1 species